UACAGAGGGUGCAAGCGUUGUUCGGAAUUACUGGGCGUAAAGCGCGUGUAGGCGGUCUGCCAAGUCUGAUGUGAAAGUUUUGGGUUUAAUUUAGGAAGUGUGUUAGAUAUUGGUGGAUUGGAGUGGUGGAGAGGAUGGUGGAAUAUUUGGUGUAGAGGUGAAAUUUGUAGAUAUCGGGUGGAACACCUGUGGCGAAGGCGGCCAUCUGGACGUCAACUGACGCUGAGACGCGAAAGCAUGGGGAGCAAACAGG
rnacentral:rRNA from 1 species